CCUCAAGGAAGCAAAUUUGGCAAAUGUGAUGAAAGAAUUACAAGAGAUAAAGACAUGAUGAUGUCAUCGCGGAGGCCUGGUGCUCCUCAACCCUCGGACAGCAGUGUAUUCUAUACAACAUCAGAGUUUCUGGAUACCGAAGCCACGAGCGGAGAGGGAGACACAGGAGAUGUCU
rnacentral:lncRNA from 1 species